GCCGGGUGGGGCUGGGCUGGGCUCUGUUCUGUCACGCCCCGUUGCUAGCCCACUUUUUUCCCGGU
ensembl:miRNA gga-mir-1584 gga-mir-1584